ACGAAGGGGGCUAGCGUUGCUCGGAAUUACUGGGCGUAAAGGGCGCGUAGGCGGACAGUUUAGUCAGAGGUGAAAGCCCAGGGCUCAACCUUGGAACUGCCUUUGAUACUGACUGUCUUGAGUUCGGGAGAGGUGAGUGGAAUGCCGAGUGUAGAGGUGAAAUUCGUAGAUAUUCGGCGGAACACCAGUGGCGAAGGCGACUCACUGGCCCGAUACUGACGCUGAGGCGCGAAAGCGUGGGGAGCAAACAGGAUUAGAUACCCUGGUAGUCCACGCUGUAAACGAUGAGUGCUAGUUGUCGGCAUGCAUGCAUGUCGGUGACGCAGCUAACGCAUUAAGCACUCCGCCUGGGGAGUACGGUCGCAAGAUUA
rnacentral:rRNA from 1 species